AUUGAACGCUGGCGGCAUGCCUUACACAUGCAAGUCGAACGGCAGCGCGGGAGCAAUCCUGGCGGCGAGUGGCGAACGGGUGAGUAAUAUAUCGGAACGUGCCCAGUAGUGGGGGAUAGCCCGGCGAAAGCCGGAUUAAUACCGCAUACGACCCGAGGGCGAAAGGGGGGGAUCGCAAGACCUCUCGCUAUUGGAGCGGCCGGUAUCAGAUUAGGUAGUUGGUGGGGUAAAGGCCUACCAAGGCUGCGAUCUGUAGUUGGUCUGAGAGGACGACCAGCCACACUGGGACUGAGACACGGCCCAGACUCCUACGGGAGGCAGCAGUGGGGAAUUUUGGACAAUGGGCGCAAGCCUGAUCCAGCAAUGCCGCGUGCAGGAAGAAGGCCUUCGGGUUGUAAACUGCUUUUGUCAGGGAAGAAAUCCUCUAGGCUAAUACCUUGGGGGGAUGACGGUACCUGAAGAAUAAGCACCGGCUAACUACGUGCCAGCCGCCGCAGUAA
rnacentral:rRNA from 1 species